rnacentral:sRNA from 1 species
UACCCGAGUACUCAGACCAAGGCCGAGGC